rnacentral:rRNA from 1 species
GGGUUGUGAGGUUAAGCGACUAAGCGUACACGGUGGAUGCCCUGGCAGUCAGAGGCGAUGAAGGGCGUGCUAAUCUGCGAUAAGCGCCGGUAAGGUGAUAUGAACCGUUAUAACCGGCGAUACCCGAAUGGGGAAACCCAGUGUGAUUCGUCACACUAUCAUUAACUGAAUCCAUAGGUUAAUGAGGCGAACCGGGGGAACUGAAACAUCUAAGUACCCCGAGGAAAAGAAAUCAACCGAGAUUCCCCCAGUAGCGGCGAGCGAACGGGGAGGAGCCCAGAGCCUGAAUCAGCAUGUGUGUUAGUGGAAGCGUCUGGAAAGGCGCGCGAUACAGGGUGACAGCCCCGUACACAAAAGCGCAUGUGCUGUGAGCUCGAUGAGUAGGGCGGGACACGUGGUAUCCUGUCUGAAUAUGGGGGGACCAUCCUCCAAGGCUAAAUACUCCUGACUGACCGAUAGUGAACCAGUACCGUGAGGGAAAGGCGAAAAGAACCCCGGCGAGGGGAGUGAAAAAGAACCUGAAACCGUGUACGUACAAGCAGUGGGAGCCCCACCACCAAAGCAUUUGCUGUACCGCGUUGACGGAGCGAAGCGACGUCAAACCGAUAAAACAGCAGUGUAAAGUGAGCCGCAGGGCGCUUUGCGCGACAGCGCAAAGGCAGGCGGUUUCGCGUAGCGAAAGCGAAUGCUUUGGGGUGGGGUGACUGCGUACCUUUUGUAUAAUGGGUCAGCGACUUAUAUUCUGUAGCAAGGUUAACCGAAUAGGGGAGCCGGAGGGAAACCGAGUCUUAAUUGGGCGUUAAGUUGCAGGGUAUAGACCCGAAACCCGGUGAUCUAGCCAUGGGCAGGUUGAAGGUUGGGUAACACUAACUGGAGGACCGAACCGACUAAUGUUGAAAAAUUAGCGGAUGACCUGUGGCUGGGGGUGAAAGGCCAAUCAAACCGGGAGAUAGCUGGUUCUCCCCGAAAGCUAUUUAGGUAGCGCCUCGUGAAUUCAUCUCCGGGGGUAGAGCACUGUUUCGGCUAGGGGGCCAUCCCGGCUUACCAACCCGAUGCAAACUGCGAAUACCGGAGAAUGUUAUCACGGGAGACACACGGCGGGUGCUAACGUCCGUCGUGAAGAGGGAAACAACCCAGACCGCCAGCUAAGGUCCCAAAGUCAUGGUUAAGUGGGAAACGAUGUGGGAAGGCCCAGACAGCCAGGAUGUUGGCUUAGAAGCAGCCAUCAUUUAAAGAAAGCGUAAUAGCUCACUGGUCGAGUCGGCCUGCGCGGAAGAUGUAACGGGGCUAAACCAUGCACCGAAGCUGCGGCAGCGACACUGUGUGUUGUUGGGUAGGGGAGCGUUCUGUAAGCCUGUGAAGGUGUGUCGUGAGGCAUGCUGGAGGUAUCAGAAGUGCGAAUGCUGACAUAAGUAACGAUAAAGCGGGUGAAAAGCCCGCUCGCCGGAAGACCAAGGGUUCCUGUCCAACGUUAAUCGGGGCAGGGUGAGUCGACCCCUAAGGCGAGGCCGAAAGGCGUAGUCGAUGGGAAACGGGUUAAUAUUCCCGUACUUGGUGUUACUGCGAAGGGGGGACGGAGAAGGCUAUGUUGGCCGGGCGACGGUUGUCCCGGUUUAAGCGUGUAGGUGUGUGUUCCAGGUAAAUCCGGUUCACUUUAACACUGAGGCGUGACGACGAGGCACUACGGUGCUGAAGCAACAAAUGCCCUGCUUCCAGGAAAAGCCUCUAAGCAUCAGGUAACAUCAAAUCGUACCCCAAACCGACACAGGUGGUCAGGUAGAGAAUACCAAGGCGCUUGAGAGAACUCGGGUGAAGGAACUAGGCAAAAUGGUGCCGUAACUUCGGGAGAAGGCACGCUGACACGUAGGUGAAGUGAUUUACUCAUGGAGCUGAAGUCAGUCGAAGAUACCAGCUGGCUGCAACUGUUUAUUAAAAACACAGCACUGUGCAAACACGAAAGUGGACGUAUACGGUGUGACGCCUGCCCGGUGCCGGAAGGUUAAUUGAUGGGGUCAGCGCAAGCGAAGCUCCUGAUCGAAGCCCCGGUAAACGGCGGCCGUAACUAUAACGGUCCUAAGGUAGCGAAAUUCCUUGUCGGGUAAGUUCCGACCUGCACGAAUGGCGUAAUGAUGGCCAGGCUGUCUCCACCCGAGACUCAGUGAAAUUGAACUCGCUGUGAAGAUGCAGUGUACCCGCGGCAAGACGGAAAGACCCCGUGAACCUUUACUAUAGCUUGACACUGAACAUUGAGCCUUGAUGUGUAGGAUAGGUGGGAGGCUUUGAAGUGUGGACGCCAGUCUGCAUGGAGCCGACCUUGAAAUACCACCCUUUAAUGUUUGAUGUUCUAACGUGGACCCGUUACCCGGGUUGCGGACAGUGUCUGGUGGGUAGUUUGACUGGGGCGGUCUCCUCCUAAAGAGUAACGGAGGAGCACGAAGGUUGGCUAAUCCUGGUCGGACAUCAGGAGGUUAGUGCAAUGGCAUAAGCCAGCUUGACUGCGAGCGUGACGGCGCGAGCAGGUGCGAAAGCAGGUCAUAGUGAUCCGGUGGUUCUGAAUGGAAGGGCCAUCGCUCAACGGAUAAAAGGUACUCCGGGGAUAACAGGCUGAUACCGCCCAAGAGUUCAUAUCGACGGCGGUGUUUGGCACCUCGAUGUCGGCUCAUCACAUCCUGGGGCUGAAGUAGGUCCCAAGGGUAUGGCUGUUCGCCAUUUAAAGUGGUACGCGAGCUGGGUUUAGAACGUCGUGAGACAGUUCGGUCCCUAUCUGCCGUGGGCGCUGGAGAACUGAGGGGGGCUGCUCCUAGUACGAGAGGACCGGAGUGGACGCAUCACUGGUGUUCGGGUUGUCAUGCCAAUGGCACUGCCCGGUAGCUAAAUGCGGAAGAGAUAAGUGCUGAAAGCAUCUAAGCACGAAACUUGCCCCGA